GGUUAAGCGACUAAGCGUACACGGUGGAUGCCCUGGCAGUCAGAGGCGAUGAAGGACGUGCUAAUCUGCGAUAAGCGUCGGUAAGGUGAUAUGAACCGUUAUAACCGGCGAUUUCCGAAUGGGGAAACCCAGUGUGAUUCGUCACACUAUCAUUAACUGAAUCCAUAGGUUAAUGAGGCGAACCGGGGGAACUGAAACAUCUAAGUACCCCGAGGAAAAGAAAUCAACCGAGAUUCCCCCAGUAGCGGCGAGCGAACGGGGAGCAGCCCAGAGCCUGAAUCAGUGUGUGUGUUAGUGGAAGCGUCUGGAAAGGCGUGCGAUACAGGGUGACAGCCCCGUACACAAAAAUGCACAUACUGUGAGCUCGAUGAGUAGGGCGGGACACGUGGUAUCCUGUCUGAAUAUGGGGGGACCAUCCUCCAAGGCUAAAUACUCCUGACUGACCGAUAGUGAACCAGUACCGUGAGGGAAAGGCGAAAAGAACCCCGGCGAGGGGAGUGAAAAAGAACCUGAAACCGUGUACGUACAAGCAGUGGGAGCACGCUUAGGCGUGUGACUGCGUACCUUUUGUAUAAUGGGUCAGCGACUUAUAUUCUGUAGCAAGGUUAACCGAAUAGGGGAGCCGAAGGGAAACCGAGUCUUAACUGGGCGUUAAGUUGCAGGGUAUAGACCCGAAACCCGGUGAUCUAGCCAUGGGCAGGUUGAAGGUUGGGUAACACUAACUGGAGGACCGAACCGACUAAUGUUGAAAAAUUAGCGGAUGACUUGUGGCUGGGGGUGAAAGGCCAAUCAAACCGGGAGAUAGCUGGUUCUCCCCGAAAGCUAUUUAGGUAGCGCCUCGUGAAUUCAUCUCCGGGGGUAGAGCACUGUUUCGGCAAGGGGGUCAUCCCGACUUACCAACCCGAUGCAAACUGCGAAUACCGGAGAAUGUUAUCACGGGAGACACACGGCGGGUGCUAACGUCCGUCGUGAAGAGGGAAACAACCCAGACCGCCAGCUAAGGUCCCAAAGUCAUGGUUAAGUGGGAAACGAUGUGGGAAGGCCCAGACAGCCAGGAUGUUGGCUUAGAAGCAGCCAUCAUUUAAAGAAAGCGUAAUAGCUCACUGGUCGAGUCGGCCUGCGCGGAAGAUGUAACGGGGCUAAACCAUGCACCGAAGCUGCGGCAGCGACGCUUAUGCGUUGU
rnacentral:rRNA from 1 species